GGGUCAGUAGGUUGGUCGUGCCACCGGUACGUACUGGUCUCACUGAUUCCUCCUUCCUGAAGAACCGUGAUGCCAUUAAUUUGGUGUUGCGGGGAAACAGGACUUUUACUUUGAAAAAAUUAGAGUGUUUAAAGCAAGCUAACGCUUAAAUACAUUAGCAUGGAAUAAUGAAAUAGGACGAUCGAUCCUAUUUUGUUGGUUUCUAGGAUUGACGUA
rnacentral:rRNA from 1 species